UUACGGUCAUAUCGUGCUGAAACACUGUUCCCGUGUGAUCGCCAAGGUUAAGCAACGUCGCGUUGGUCAGUACCAUGAUGGAUGACCGCUUGAAAAUACCAGAUGUUGUAAG